CUGUCAAAGUACAUACAAUAUAUUUAGGAAUUGCAUUAAGCCAAGGUGCCAUAAGCUACGAGUUAUGAAGGAACGGCAAGGCAAAGGAGGGGCAUCAAAAAAUUGCAGACAAACACGAAAAUGUUGAGUUCAUCAAAAGGGGAUUUCCAAAUACAAAUGAAUUUUCGGCUGGCAGGCAGACGUCCCUGAGAGAGAUACAGAGCUCCGAAGAGCUGCUCAAAUAAACACCCACAAGGCCGGAGACAAAGCAGACGGAGGCUCUCUGUCGCCGGAAUGGAUGGCAACGUGUACUCGUGUUCUUGCAAUCAGUCCACAAAACCUAAACACUUGCCAGUCCCCCAGUCAGCCCAGUCGGUCCCUCUUAGGUGUUGGCUCUAAAAACACAGCAAAGCAAAAAAGGCUUUUGCUUACUCUGCGAGAAAUGCCAAUCAACCCUUUCUUUGCCUUGGUAUGUGGAAUAUGCACGAGCAAAUGCCAGGCGCUGGUCUACGCGGAGGAUUGGAAAUUUUAGCAAACUGGUGUGGGAGGAUUGAGUCUGGGGGUCGUAUAACGUCAACGUGAACGCCGACUCAUUUCGAUUCAGACGGCAAACUUUUCAAACGUUUAACUAGCCGACAUUCCGGGCCGUUUAGGAUGUGGCUGCUAAAAGUGUAGCAUACCAAAAGGCGAGCAGGCUCGGCAAGCGCAAAGUGAGCGAAUGCGAAAGUAAAAGGCAGCGACGCGGAUUUAAAAGUUUAAAUAACUUUUACGUAUCUCAUUACUCAGAGCGACAACAUCUCGAACUCCCCACAAAACCCCCUUUAGGAACCCCCCGCCUGUCUUUUUGUGCAGCUCUGAGCUCUAAAAUAAUCACAAUAAAAUCGCAUAAUUCAA